GCCAGCAUGGUCUAGUGGUUUGAGCAUUGGACUAUAACUCUGGAGACCAGGGUUCAAAUCCCCGCUCAGCCA